UAUCCAAUUAUUACCUUUCUUUUGAAUAACAGGAUAGUAGUCGGUGGAAAGAAAAUGGAUGUCGUCGUAUGUGCGUGAUACAGAGAGACAGGACAGAAGCUUAUACAAUAGUUUUUAACAUUCCAGAUGUUUAUCUUCAUAAAGAUGGUGGAAGCAGUUAAGCAAUAACUAUAACACCAAAACAAAAAAAUAAUAGAUUUAAAUUUGGAAGGGAGGCUUAAAGAAAGAUCGACCUGAGCGAGAUGGGCCGGAAAAGGCAGCUUCAGUUGGGAUCUGCUCCCAAGAGAAGAACUGUGCUACAGUUAGAUGACAAUAGAGGUACUCGAUUAAGCAGCCCUGUUCCGAAUAAGCAAGGUAAUUCAUUGGGCUUAUUGAGCCACUAUGGAGAAGAUAGUGAAGAAGAGGAAGAAGGAUUAGCAGCAGCAAAACCUAAAACAGAAAUUGAUCUGAAAGUGGCUGACUUCCUUGCUGAGAUAGAGGCAUUGGACACUCCAAAUGGUAGCGGAUCAAACACACCUAAAGAAGAAGUGCAUGAAGAUGAAGCACCUGCUGUAACCGCGACAACAUCUUGGGAGGCCCCUGUAGCUCAGCCAUCUGCUGAAGAAAUAGGAGAGUGGCAGGAGCUUCUGGAUCCAAAUACAAACUGCAUGUAUUUUUGGAACACGGUAACUAACGAAGUAACAUGGGAGGUUCCACAGGCCCUUCAGGACAAAGUUGCCCCAGCUACUGCCAAAGCAACUGAUAAUGUGAACCAGUAUAAUGAAAAGGAGAUUCACCCCCCAGAGGUAGCAGCGGCUGUCACAGAAGUACCAGAAGUUGACACUGAAGAAGUUGAGGAAAUGCCCACUGCCUCAGCUUUUCCAUUAUUUGGGCCCAAGGCACCGAAAACAGAUAUUGAGGCAGAUUGCAGCAGUUCAUCGAGUACUUUCGACGAGGAAGUUAAUAAAAACAAAACUGAAUUUGUGGAUAAUUCUGAACCGUAUGGAAUGUUCGUGAAAGGCGAGACGUUGAUACAAGAGGAGAACCAGUACGAUAUAUUUGCAGACAAGUCACCUGUCAAGGAGAUGAAAAAGGAUGAUGAAGUUGAAACUGAUGAAGAGGAGGAUGAAGAGGAGGCCAUGGAGAGUGAUGAGAAGCAGGAGGAUUCAGUUGUUGAUGGGCAACCACUUGAAGAGUUUGAGAGGGAGGAUGAUGAAAGGGAUCCAGCAGUAGAAUUUGAUGAAGAUGACAUCGAUGCCCAGUUGGAACUGGCACUAGAACAGAAAAAGGCUGAAUUAAGAGACCUUGAUGGUAUUAAGGAAGAUCCGGUUUUAAGCGAUGCAGCAACAAGUCAGAAAAGAAAAUCUGAACAAACAACUGAAAGUAUAUAUAGUGAAAAUGGAGAGAUCAACCUGCUGCCAUUCAAGAAAAAACGAAUGGAAAUGUUGAGAGGACAAAAGCAGGCGUUGAUGGAAGAUAAAUCCACACAGUGUGAUGAUCAACUGGAACAGCAGUCCAUAGAGUAUAUGAAGGAAAAGACAAAGCAGAAAAAGAAAGAAGAAGCAGAUAUCAAAUGUGAGGUAGCAGCAAUUACAUCUGAUUUACGGAGCAAGCUUGGAUUUUUAGGGAUGUCAAGAAAAGACCUGAACAAAUUCCAUAUAUUGUUGAUUGAAAUGGAGACACGUGUGCAAGACUGGCGAGAUGGCAUUUUAGAUGGCAAGCAUUUAAUGAAAAAACUAGAAACUGCAAACUGGGAAUUAGAACUCUAUGAACGUGAAGCUGCACCACCUGAUUGGACAUGUGCGUGGGACAGAACGCACAAAAUGUAUUAUUACGUAAGCAACAGCACUGGUGAUUCCCAGUGGGAGUACCCACUUGAAGCGUUGGACCAACACAAGGUGAGCCUCGGCUCCACCGCCAAUGAUGCACAGUUCAUGAGCAAAGAUACAUUCAACCAGGCCUCAAGUGUCGGUGGCUACAACAUUGAUGACAAGCAGGGUGGUGGUCAAGUUACAGACACCGAAAAAGUUCCUGUUGAGAAAGCGAGUACAGAACAAAUUCCUUGUGAACCUCAGCCAAUCAUUGACAGAAAAAUUGACAUUCCCCCAGUCCCUGGGGAAAGCAUGUUUGUCCCUCCCUUACCAGAUGAACCACCACCACCUCCCCCAGAAGCUGAUUUACCACCACCUCCCCCUCCCAGUUCACCGCCACCACCUUUACCUCCUAGGCCUCCUCCAGAUUAUGACUCUGAUACCGAGCCGUUACCGCCAGGGGUAAGUCCACCACCAUCGCCACCGCGUGAAGACCCUGCUCCUCCGAUGCCGUCAGAACCUACUAUCCAGGAAGCUGACUCUACAUCGAUUGUAUCGAAACCUUUGGUGAGGUAUGUGAACCCGGUGACUGUUGUAAAUCCAGCGGUGAUUAUGGCCCCUAGCUACGCGUCUGUACCGGUGCAACCAGCAGUGUAUGCCCAACCAACCGUCGCCCAGCAGCCACCAGUGCCCAAACCGAAAGAACCUGUUCCUACAAAGACAAAAACAAAGAAGCCAAAAAAGGUUAAGAAAGCUCUUGCAAACAAAAAGCUUUCAAUGAAUUUAGUAGAGAAAUGGAAACAAAUUAAAGAAGAACAAGAGAAAGAGGAAGAAGUGGUUGAAUCAGAUGAAGAAGACAUGGAGACAAUGACACAAAGGAGGAUAGAGGAAUGGAAGGAAAGCCAAUUAAUGACAGGAAAAGCUUCGUACAAUGCAAAUUUCGAGAUGAUAAAAGGAGACUGGAGAGAGAGACUAAAGAGGAAGAAUAAUAAAUCAUAACACUUGUUUUGUCACUCGCGAGAAAUAUCAUCCGUUCAAAUUCAAACAGCUCCCCAUGCCUAGAUACUAUGAAAUGCCAUCAGUAGUGUCAUGCUCUAGAUUUGCCAUAACGUAUAUAUUGAACAUACUUGAGUGAAACUUGGAUCCACCUUACCCACAAAAUCUAAUCUACCCCUUAGGCCAGUGUAUGAUUUGACAGAAACUUCUAAUGUAUAAUCUAUGUUGGUAGAAUUUGUUCCUUUAUGAGAUUAUUUUGAAUAGAUCAUGGUUAAUAAUGCGAUGAGAAUCAAAUUGAACGUGAUCCUGAUUUCCAUAGUGCCACCAGGGUUUGUUGAGUUAAGCAUUUUUAUGUCAAACCUAUUUAUACAGUAAUUGCCUUUAGUUUCAAUUUUUUGUUCCAAGCUCAUAGUGCUUGUUAUUUGAAAAUGGUAGGUGACCUAAAAAACCACACUAUAUUUGUUUGGGAAAGUAUAAAUAAUAUUAUUUAUGAUGCACUCAUCACGGGUGAAAUGAAGCUCAAAGCCAAUUUAUAAACCAAAUUACAGAAAACAAAGCCACAGUAUUUGGGUGUGUUAACAAGGUUGAAGGUGUGUGAUAUUAAAAGCCAUUGUUCUCUAUGUUUCACACCCCAGCAAAGGAGCUUAGGUGUGUGAUGGUGUAGGAGUGCUCAGAUCCCAAGCACUGUAUGUAAUAAUCAUGAGGCACCCAAGGAUGGAUCCAGAGAUAUCUGACCGGGGGAGGGUGUGCACCCUAAUCAAGAGACAACACCAUCCUUGGUGUUUGUUUUCUAGAUGCCUGUAAAUAACCUCAGAGGCGUUUUUUGUUUUUACUUUCCAAAAAGGGCCCUUCCUUCCCACCCCAUCACCCCCUUCACCAAUCUUCCCCUCAAAACUUCGACAAAGUCACAAGAAAAUCAAUCUAUCUAUAUUUUUUUCAUUAAUAUUAUCUUAGCUAUUAUCUGAAGAAAUAAUUAUGUAAUAAUGAAUUUGACAAUUUUUUAUAUCGUUUUUGUGCAUUAUACUUAAACAGUGAUGUCUGCACAAGUAAAUUUUUGUCCAGCGUGUGCACCCAACCUAAUUUUAUAUUUCUACAAUAUUGCUUUUCAGUUGUUCUAAUAUGUUACCGAAUCCUCAGUAUUGUUGAAGGAAGGCUAUUAGCCUAUUAAGUUAAAUACCUUUCCAUAGCUUAGUAAUAAUAAAUAUCAUUGGCUAGGUUUUGUGGAAGCUUGUUGCUUAAUAUAGCUGUAUGUCUCGGUAAGAUUCUUAUCAAAAUAAGUCGGAGUGCGAAUGAGGUUUUAGGUACAGUAACUAUAUUUUUGCCAUAAGGUUACAAUCAGUGCUUUGUUCUGUAGUAGUUACUGAAUGAACAUAACCAACAUAUUGCUUGGGAAAGUUAUGGGGAGGGUCCUAUAAUCAGAAUGGUAGAAGAGAGAGGUCUACAAACUGAUAAAUAAUAGUGUGGGUGGGGGGGGGGUGUUUGUGUGUGUAUUGGGUUGUUGGAGUCCUCUAUACCAGUGAAUAUUAGGAGGGAUACCUAGAAACAUGUGAAUAAUAGGCAGGGGGUUUUUGGAAGGGGAAGGGGCAGGUUGCAGAGGGUGUGGAUGCAAUUUAAAAUGGUUCACUUUUUAAAACCUAUUUAUUUUACUAAAAUCGUCCCUUUACUGUAAAGGUGUAUGCAUUUCAUUUGACAGCUCUUCUAAUUGUUGAUUUUUAAUACUGUAACUGUGGAAUAUAGUUAGAGUAUGUUUUAUACUUUCUUAUCUGACGUUAAUCGGUGAACCUUCCAGUUUGUGGUACGAAAUUUGUUGGAAAUUGAUAUAAGCUUUGUUAAUUGCAGGUUAUAAUUAGGCCUACAAUAAACACAUUACUUUAUCAGGUCUGUAACAACACCCAAAUGAAUAGAAAUUUAAAUAGAGUUUUCAUGAAAAAUUAGAAAUCAAAUGGGUCCUCAAAAAGCUACUUUUCUUAUGAAGUAGCAAAAAAUAGAAUCGAUUCAUAUAAACAGGUAUAUACUAGUGGAGCAUAAUGGGAAAGAUACCUGCUAUGUAUUUUAAUUCAGUAAAUACAGUAAUAGGGGAUUUCUGAAAACAGAAGAAUAAUGGGAGACCCAAAGCACAGGAAAGUAGGACACUUUAGGGUUACUAAUAUGGAAUAAAUGUUUAAUUUUAAGCUGCCUGGCAUAAUAGAAAAAAGUUGUAAGCAUAUACUAUUGCAGUAUUAAACUGUUCAAAAAGGAGGUUUGGCCGAAACCUUCAAAUCCCACUGGCUGGGGCCUGGCUUACACACAUAAGAAAUUCCCUAAAAUUUGACCUUGGCUUCCAUUUUUCACUGCGUGGGAAUCAUAAUUUUGUAUAAUUAUGUUGGCAUCCAACCUUCUACUAGAUUUGUUUACAUACAGUAGGCCUAUUCAUGUUUAUGUUUAUUUUUGUUAUGAUACAAGUAACGACAUAGCCCUAAUUAACAAUGUACUUGUAUUGAUUGACAUUGCAAAUUAACGAUUUGUAGACAGGAUAGCAACAGUGCGGAAAACAUUUUACAGUACAGUACUUCCAAAAUAUGUGCGCUCUGAAAGAAAAUGGGGUUAGUUGAGGGGCGCUAGUUGGCAAAGUAAUGUGAUACAGGGGCUGAUCCAGUCAACAGUCUAACAAUAGGUACAGUAAGUGAGUAGCACAUAACACUGAUUUGCAUUGAGAAUUGGAAAAAAAAAAAAAAAAAAGUAAAUAAAUGGAUCCGCCCUGUGAUAUGUUGUUAUUUUCAACUACUUGAUAUGUACGGUAUUGUUUUUUUUGGGUUUUUUUUUUCUGCCUUGCAAAUUUUUAUGAGAAAGACUUUUGAAAUGCAAAAGCUUUCCCGUGGAUACAUAGGCUACAUAUGCAACACAUUGUGGAUGUGACUGUUAAAUCUAGUGUAUAGAAACAUCCUUUACAAGUAAAGAGCUAACAUUUAUUUUACAUUAUUGUAUCAAGCUGUUCAGGUUUAGUCUAAAGAUUUCUAUGAAAUAAACAUUUCAUAUUGAAUACAAAA
rnacentral:misc_RNA from 1 species